rnacentral:rRNA from 1 species
GAUGAACGCUGGCGGCGUGCCUAAUACAUGCAAGUCGAGCGAACAGACGAGGAGCUUGCUCCUCUGACGUUAGCGGCGGACGGGUGAGUAACACGUGGAUAACCUACCUAUAAGACUGGGAUAACUUCGGGAAACCGGAGCUAAUACCGGAUAAUAUAUUGAACCGCAUGGUUCAAUAGUGAAAGACGGUUUUGCUGUCACUUAUAGAUGGAUCCGCGCCGCAUUAGCUAGUUGGUAAGGUAACGGCUUACCAAGGCAACGAUGCGUAGCCGACCUGAGAGGGGGAUCGGCAAAACGGGAACUAAGAAAGGGUCCAGAACCGUCAGGGAGGAAGAAUUAGGAAACCUUCGGAAAGGGGGAAAGGCCGAAGGGGGAAAGGCGGGGUGAGUGAGAAAGGCUUAGGGAUCGUAAACUUAUGUUAUUGGGAAAAAAAAAAGGGGUAAGUAAGAAUGCAGGUAUGAAGGGAACUUAAUAAGAAGGCAAGGGUAAAUUAGGG